rnacentral:rRNA from 1 species
CAUUGUAAUCUCACUACCAUCGACUUUGGUCUUUUCGGUAUGUGGACUUGGAUGCUGCCGUUGAUGUUGACGGCUCGUCUGAAAUGCCUGAGUGUACCCUGCUUUGCGGCGUAUUCGGUGUGAUACAUCUUCACCGGAGUUGAUCCUUGUGGUCGCGUCUGUAAUGGUGUGGCUCUAUGCUUCCAAUCGUCUCUUUGGUUAGACAAUCUCUGACAAUUUGACCUCAAAUCGGGUGGGACUACCCGCUGAACUUAAGCAUAUCAAUAAGCGGAGGAAAAGAAACUAACAAGGAUUCCCCUAGUAACGGCGAGUGAAGAGGGAAAAGCUCAAAUUUUGAAUCUGGUGUCUUUGACUCCCGAGUUGUAAUCUAGAGAAGUGUUUUCCGUGUCGGACCGUGCACAAGUUCCCUGGAACGGGGCGUCAUAGAGGGUGAGAAUCCCGUAUAUGGCAUGGACUACCGACGCUUUUGUGAUACACUCUCAACGAGUCGAGUUGUUUGGGAAUGCAGCUCAAAAUGGGUGGUAAAUUCCAUCUAAAGCUAAAUAUUGGCGAGAGACCGAUAGCGAACAAGUACCGUGAGGGAAAGAUGAAAAGCACUUUGGAAAGAGAGUGAAACAGUACGUGAAAUUGUUGAAAGGGAAGCGUUUGAAGUCAGUCAUAUCUGGCGGGAUUCAGCCGGGCUUUUGCCAGGUGUACUUCUCGUCCGAUGGGUCAGCAUCAAUUUCGACCGGGGGAAAAAGGCAUUGGGAAUGUGGCUGUCUUCGGGCAGUGUUAUAGCCUCGUGUUGUAUGCCUCGGUUGGGAUUGAGGAACGCAGCGCGCCGCAUGGCCAGGGGUUCGCCUCUUGACACGCGCUUAGGAUGCUGGCAUAAUGGCUUUAAGCGACCCGUCUUGAAACACGGAC